AGCUUUGUGCAGUAGCAGUAUUGUAGCCAAUGAGGUUCAUUCAAGGCACAACUAUUGCUAAUUGAAAACUUUUCUCAAAGAA
rnacentral:snRNA from 1 species